GAAAGCUGUGGCUGCAGGGCCAGGGUUAGGGUGAGAUUCCCAACUGCUGCGAGGACCUCAGGCCUAAGAGGAGCAAAGCCGAAUGCCGGGAGAGGCUGGCAGGCUCCGUCCUCCGGGAAGAGGUGGCAGGGAGAAAAAAUCAAAGAGUGAAGACCUAAGAUGGAAGAUCACCCAAAUGGAGAAAUAUGUUUUUCAGAGAGAAGGAAAAUGGAGCUCUUGGUUUCUUGGCCCUGCCAAGGCUGAUGUGAGCCUGGGGCAAGCCUGCUCCUGAGUGGGCCCCACGAAA